rfam:TPA: Bos taurus chromosome 10, whole genome shotgun sequence.
UGGCUCAGAGGUUAAAGCGCCUGCCUGGAAUGCGGGAGACCCAGAUUCGAUCCCUGG